rnacentral:rRNA from 1 species
GACGAACGCUGGCGGCGUGCCUAAUACAUGCAAGUAGAACGCAGUUGCGAACGGGUGAGUAACGCGUGGGAAAAUCCCUCAUAGCGGGGGAUAAUUAUUGGAAACGUUAGCAAUAACCCCAUACUGUGCGAAGGACCUGCGUUGUAUUAGCUAGUUGGUGAGGUAAAGGCUCAACAAGGCGACGAUACAUAGCCGACCUGAGAGGGUGAUCGGCCAACAUGGGACUGAGACACGGCCCAGACUCCUACGGGAGGCAGCAGUAGGGAAGCUUCGGCAAUUGACGGAAGUCCGACUGAGCAACGCCGCGUGGUUGAAGAAGGGUUUCGGAGCGGAAAGUUCUUUUGUUAGAGAAGCGGUAACUAACCAGAAAGGGACGGCUAACUACGUGCCAGCAGCCGCGGUAAUUC